AUACGUAGGUCCCGAACGUUGCGCGAAAUUACUGGGCGUAAAGGGUCCGUAGGCGGUCUGGUAAGUGGAAGGUGAAAGCCUGGGGCUCAACUCCAGAAUUGCCUUCCAAACUGCCGGACUUGAGGCAGGGAGAGGUCGGCGGAAUUCCCGGUGUAGCGGUGAGAUGCGUAGAUAUCCGGAGGAACACCAGUGGCGAAGGCGGCCGACUGGAACUGUCCUGACGCUGAGGGACGAAAGCCAGGGGAGCGAACCGGAUUAGAAACCCUAGUAGUCC
rnacentral:rRNA from 1 species